GGAAUAUUGCACAAUGGGCGCAAGCCUGAUGCAGCGACGCCGCGUGAGCGAAGAAGUAUUUCGGUAUGUAAAGCUCUAUCAGCAGGGAAGAAAAUGACGGUACCUGACUAAGAAGCUCCGGCUAAAUACGUGCCAGCAGCCGCGGUAAUACGUAUGGAGCAAGCGUUAUCCGGAAUUACUGGGUGUAAAGGGAGCGUAGACGGUGAGACAAGUCUGAAGUGAAAGCCCGGGGCUCAACCCCGGGACUGCUUUGGAAACUGCCUGACUGGAGUGCUGGAGAGGCAAGCGGAAUUCCUAGUGUAGCGGUGAAAUGCGUAGAUAUUAGGAAGAACACCAGUGGCGAAGGCGGCUUGCUGGACAGUAACUGACGUUGAGGCUCGAAAGCGUGGGGAGCAAACAG
rnacentral:rRNA from 1 species